rnacentral:rRNA from 1 species
AGGGCGCAUGGUGGAUGCCUUGGCAGACAGUACCGACGAAGGACGUUUGAGGAUGCGAUAAGCCUCGGGGAGCCUCCAGCAUGGCUUCGAUCCGAGGAUUUCCGAAUGGGGCAACCCGCCGGCCGUCAUGGGCCGGCACCGCAGGCUUCUGCGGGGGGUACGCAGGGAAGUGAAACAUCUCAGUACCUGCAGGAAGGGAUACUCCGUGAGUAGUGGCGAGCGAAAGCGGAUCAGACCAAACCGCGUGCGCGUGAUACCCGUCGGGGGUUGCGUGCGCGGUGUUGAGGGAGCGCGUGUCCCGGUUCCGACGGACCGGGCGGGAGUCAUAAAACGGCUUGCCAGGGGAACAGGCUUGAAGGCCUGGCCGCAGAGGGUGCCAGCCCCGUACCUGGACGCUUGCCGUCUUCCGAUCGCGUGUCCCAAGUAGCGCGGGCCUCGUGGAAUCCCGCGUGAAUCCGCACCGACCGUGGUGUAAGUCUAAGCAUACCUGUCUGACCGAUAGCGUACCAGUACCGUGAGGGAAAGGUGAAAAGCACCCCGGGAGGGGAGUGAAAGAGUUCCUGAAACCGUGCGCCUACGAUCCGUCGGAGCCUCCUUGCGGGGUGACGGCGUGCCUAUCGAAAAAUGAGUCUGCGAGUCAGUGAUGCGUGGCGAGGCUAACCCGUCGUGGGGCAGCCGUAGCGAAGGCGAGUCCGAACAGGGCGUUUUUAGAGUCGCGUGUCCUGGACCCGAAGCGGGAUGAUCUAGCCCUGGGCAGGUUGAAGCGCGGGUAAGACCGCGUGGAGGACCGAACCCACCUGGGUUGAAAACCGGGGGGAUGACUUGGGGCUAGGGGUGAAAGGCCAAUCAAAUUCCGUGAUAGCUGGUUCUCUCCGAAAUGCAUUUGGGUGCAGCGUCGGGUCAUUACGUCCCGGGGGUAGAGCUACUGGAUGCUUGCGGGCCCGUAUCGGGUACCAACAGCAACCAAACUCCGAAUACCGGUGACGCGUAUCCCGGCAGUGAGUCGGCGGGGGAUAAGCUUCGUCGUCGAAAGGGAAACAGCCCAGACCGUCGUCUAAGGUCCCGAAGCGUGUGCUAAGUGGGAAAGGAUGUGGAGUCGCAUAGACAGCCAGGAGGUUGGCUCAGAAGCAGCCACCCUUGAAAGAGUGCGUAACAGCUCACUGGUCUAGUGGUUCCGCGCCGACAAUGUAGCGGGGCUCAAGCACACCACCGAAGACGCGGCAGUAUUUUGUACUGGGUAGGAGAGCGUCCCAUGAGGGGCGAAGCGGCCGUGUGAACGCGCCGUGGACUUCAUGGGAGUGAGAAUGCAGACAUGAGUAGCGAGAGACGGGUGAAGAUCCCGUCCGCUGGAUGACCAAGGGUUCCAGGGCCACGUUCAUCGUCCCUGGGUGAGUCGGGUCCUAAGGCGAGGCCGACAGGCGUAGUCGAAUGGAUGAACGGGUCGAUAUUCCCGUACCGGCUUUCAGCCGCCAAAACCGAGGCUUGGAGUACUAACCUCCGGGUCCGGGCUUACUGCUCCUUCGGGGGCGGGAUGCCCUGGCCUGUUGGGACCGAUCCUUGUAGUAGGUCAGCGCAGGAGUGACGCAGAAGGGUAGCCGGCCGCGGAGGUGGUCUUCCGUGGUCAAGCACGCAGGGCGUGGGACAGGCAAAUCCGUCCCGCAUGGGUCCGAGGUGCGAUGAUGGGGGCCUUAUGGCCCGAUAUCCGGUGAUCCCGGCUGCCGAGAAAAGCUUCGGCGUCAGGCUCAAAGCCGCCCGUACCCCAAACCGACACUGGUGGUCAGGUAGAGAAUACCAAAGCGAUCGAGCGAAUCCUGGUCAAGGAACUCGGCAAAUCACUCCCGUUCCUUCGGUUUAAGGGAGACCCCCGAUGGUGAUCCGCCUCGCGCGGGGAGCUUUUGGGGGUGGCACAGACCAGGGGGUAGCGACUGUUUACCAAAAACACAGGUGCAUGCGAAGGCGUAAGCCGCUGUAUAUGCACUGACGCCUGCCCGGUGCCGGAAGGUUAAGAGGAUCCGUCAGCCUUCGGGUGAAGCGGUGAAUUCAAGCCCCGGUAAACGGCGGUGGUAACUAUAACCAUCCUAAGGUAGCGAAAUUCCUUGUCGGGUAAGUUCCGACCUGCACGAAUGGCGUAACGAUCUCCACACUGUCUCGGCCAGAGACUCGGUGAAAUUGAAGUCGCGGUGAAAAUGCCGUGUACCCGCAGAAAGACGGAAAGACCCUGUGCACCUUUACUAUAGCUUGACAUUGGGAUUUGAGCCUGCAUGUGUAGCAUAGGUGGGAGGCUGUGAACUCUGUACGCCAGUAUGGAGGGAGCCAUCGUUGAAAUACCACCCUUGUUUGUUCAGGUCCCUAACUCUUCGCCGUGAUCCGGUAAGAGGACAGUGUCUGGUGGGUAGUUUGACUGGGGCGGUCGCCUCCCAAAAUGUAACGGAGGCAUGCAAAGGUUCCCUCAGGCUGAUUGGAAACCAGCCGUCGAGUGCAAACGCAAAAGGGAGCUUGACUGCAAGAGAGACAUCUCGAGCAGGUACGAAAGUAGGUGUUAGUGAUCCGGUGAUCCCGAAUGGAAGGGUCAUCGCUCAUUGGAUAAAAGGUACGCCGGGGAUAACAGGCUGAUCGCAUCCAAGAGUUCACAUCGACGAUGCGGUUUGGCACCUCGAUGUCGGCUCAUCACAUCCUGGGGCUGAAGCAGGUCCCAAGGGUACGGCUGUUCGCCGUUUAAAGUGGUACGCGAGCUGGGUUUAAAACGUCGUGAGACAGUUUGGUCCCUAUCUUCUGUGGGCGUAGGAGAAUUGAAAGGGCCUGUCCCUAGUACGAGAGGACCGGGAUGGACACACCACUGGUGGACCUGUUGUCGUGCCAACGGCACAGCAGGGUAGCUAUGUGUGGAAGGGAUAACCGCUGAAAGCAUCUAAGCGGGAAGCCUGCCUUAAGAUAAGUUCUCCCUGACGCAAGUCCUGAAGGGCCGAGGUAGACGACCUCGUUGAUAGGCUGGAGGUGGAAGCCCUGUGAGGGGUGGAGCUGACCAGUACUAAUAGCCCGUGCGUCUUGUUU